CCUACGGGUGGCAGCAGUGGGGAAUAUUGGACAAUGGGCGAAAGCCUGAUCCAGCCAUGCCGCGUGUGUGAAGAAGGCCUUCGGGUUGUAAAGCACUUUCAGUGGGGAAGAAAGCCUUGGGGCUAAUACCCUCGAGGAAGGACAUCACCCACAGAAGAAGCACCGGCUAACUCCGUGCCAGCAGCCGCGGUAAUACGGAGGGUGCGAGCGUUAAUCGGAAUUACUGGGCGUAAAGCGCGCGUAGGCGGUCUGAUAAGCCGGUUGUGAAAGCCCCGGGCUCAACCUGGGAACGGCAUCCGGAACUGUCAGGCUAGAGUGCAGGAGAGGAAGGUAGAAUUCCCGGUGUAGCGGUGAAAUGCGUAGAGAUCGGGAGGAAUACCAGUGGUGAAGGCGGCCUUCUGGACUGACACUGACGCUGAGGUGCGAAAGCGUGGGUAGCAAACAGGAUUAGAUACCCCUGUAGUC
rnacentral:rRNA from 1 species